rnacentral:RNase_P_RNA from 2 species
GGUAGAGGGGGGCUCAUUGGUGGGGUUACAAACUAAGUGCCUCAUGUCCCUCCAAUUCAUGUCCUUUGGGAAGUUCUGAGACCAGGGCUAACAGCAGCCCUAGAGGAGUCCUCCCUGAGCCUCUGGGAGUGUGCAGGGUCUGCCAUAGAGCCUUUCCUCAGGAAGGAGACUGGAGCCUGCAUUCCUUAGCUGCAGGUUGGAAUGUGCCACUACCACUUUGUGAAGCACAUCUAGAAUUCUCUUUCAUGUC